GCUCGUUUAAUUUUCAUAAAACUUUGACAAAUUAUUUACUUUGACCCUUUUACAAAAAUAUCAAAAAAUUAAAAAAUUUGAACCAGGCGUUUUAUCAGAAAAAAUACACUGGUUAUAUAGCAGUUGUACAAACACUUUUUUUGAUCAUUGUGAAGCUUUAUAUUGCCUUCACAAGGCAACAUAAUUAAAACGUUUAGCUGAUAUUACAGAGUUAUCUCCCUGUAGUGUUAGGUACCACC
rnacentral:lncRNA from 1 species